UACAGAGGCCUCAAGCGUUGUUCGGAUUCAUUGGGCGUAAAGGGUGCGUAGGCGGCGCGGUAAGUCGGGUGUGAAAUUUCGAGGCUUAACUUCGAAACUGCAUUCGAUACUGCCGUGCUCGAGGACUGGAGAGGAGACUGGAAUUUACGGUGUAGCGGUGAAAUGCGUAGAUAUCGUAAGGAAGACCAGUGGCGAAGGCGGGUCUCUGGACAGUUCCUGACGCUGAGGCACGAAGGCCAGGGGAGCAAACGGG
rnacentral:rRNA from 1 species